UUAUUUAAAUCGAUCAAAUAGGUCAUAUUAUACAUAUUAUGUCAUUUAGGCAUUACAAUCAAUUCAAAAAUUUAUUUAAAGAUUUGUAUGUCUUCAAUGUUGAAACUGAUGUUAAUACAAUAUUAAAGUUAUUGUUAGUAUAAGAAUUUACGUUGUACAAUUACUAUUGUAUUGAAUUUACUUCUAUACCUAAACAUUUAGGUAGGAUAUCAACUGCCGUUGGUUUACAAACUAAAUGGUAAUUACCCAUUUUAAUGAAAACUUAUAAGUUUAUUUAAACUUAAAUUUUACAAACAAAUAUUUUUUCUUAUAUCUAAGUAUACUUUGUAUGUAAUUUUAUUUUCUGCCGUUUCUAUAUAUUAUGCAUACAUAUGUGUCGUCAAUGUAACACAAAAACCGGUAGAAAUGUAAUAAUUUUAAAACAAAAAUGUAACACUACAAUAGAGUAGGUUGACUGGACAUUAACGAGUUAAAAAGAUAAAAGAGCUAAUUUUGCUGAUGGGUAUCCCACUGCUGUAGGUGCUAAAUUGGCAAAUUGGCAAGGUGUGAUGCGCCUAUUACAUUUUAAAAUUAUACAAUGAUUUAAUUUAUAUCUUUUAUAAACGAUAAGUUAUUGCUUAUGAAAAACGAUUCUGAACGUAGUCAAAGUUCGGUUAUCCAUGUUUUGAAAUACCGUAAUUUUAACGAUUAUGAUAAAAUGUUUAUCUUAAAACACUUAAAACGAUUAGUUUUUUUAUAUUUUUUUGUGACCACUAAGUCAUAUAUGUGCUAUAAUAUUAUUAUAUUCUAAAAAUGUCAGAUCUUUCAGGUUUCU